rnacentral:rRNA from 1 species
GAUGAACGCUGGCGGCGUGCCUAAUACAUGCAAGUCGAGCGAACAGACGAGGAGCUUGCUCCUCUGACGUUAGCGGCGGACGGGUGAGUAACACGUGGAUAACCUACCUAUAAGACUGGGAUAACUUCGGGAAACCGUAGCUAAUACCGGAUAAUAUAUUGAACCGCAUGGUUCAAUAGUGAAAGACGGUUUUGCUGUCACUUAUAGAUGGAUCCGCGCCGCAUUAGCUAGUUGGUAAGGUAACGGCUUACCAAGGCGACGAUGCAUAGCCGACCUGAGAGGGUGAUCGGCCACACUGGAACUGAGAAACGGUCCAGACUCCUGCGGGAGGCAGCAGUAGGGAAUCUUCCGCAAUGGGCGAAAGCCUGACGGAGCAACGCCGCGUGAGUGAUGAAGGUCUUCGGAUCGUAAAACUCUGUUAUUAGGGAAGAACAAAUGUGUAAGUAACUAUGCACGUCUUGACGGUACCUAAUCAGAAAGCCACGGCUAACUACGUG